AAUGAACGCUGGCGGCGUGGAUUAGGCAUGCAAGUCGAACGAGAAAGCGAAUUUAUUCGCGAGUAAAGUGGCGAACGGGUGAGUAACGCGUGGGAAACCUGCCUUCGAGCGGGGGAUAACAUUCCUAACGGAAUGCUAAUACCGCAUAAUAUCACAGGUCGCAUGAUCUGUGAUCAAAGAUGGCCUCUACAUGUAAGCUAUCACUUGAAGAUGGUCCCGCGUCCCAUUAGCUUGUUGGUAGGGUAACGGCCUACCAAGGCUUCGAUGGGUAGCCGGCCUGAGAGGGUGACCGGCCACACUGGGACUGAGACACGGCCCAGACUCCUACGGGAGGCAGCAGUCGAGAGGCUUCGGCAAUGGGGGAAACCCUGACCGAGCGACGCCGCGUGGACGAUGAAGUUUUUCGGAACGUAAAGUCCUGUCAUACG
rnacentral:rRNA from 1 species